CAGAAGGGAUGGGUUUACUAAGGGCCUGCCAGGGAGUCCAGAAAACACUUGUGUCUUCACAAACCCCGGGAGAACACAACUUGCUAUUGUUUGCAUCCUCGCUUUUCUGAUGAAGAAGGACACGCAGGGAGGUUAAUUACCUGUGCGAGGACACUCAUCUGCACUGUGACCUGCUGACCUCAAAGCCCUACACCUCAGGCCCUUUGCAUUUGCUGCUCCCUCCCUCUGUGGCUCUUUCCCGAGAUAUCCGCAUGAUUUAAGUCGCCGCAAUCAUUCAGGCCUUUACCCUCCUCUUGGUGUCUCAGGGAGGCCCUGGCAGCUGCGCCUGUGCAGAAACCAUCCUCACUCUGCUCCUUUGUUUCUUCACAACCCUGAUUGCCAUGAACACCAAUGACAAACAAAAAACAAGUCUUUGUUUCCUGUACGCUAUCUGUCUGUGUACACUGGCUGUGGUUGGUACAGUGGCCCCAGCCCUAACGGAGAACUUGAUGAAGGGAUAGCUGUGCCUUCCAGGAGACUUUGGUCGUAGGAGGGAGUCAUUUAGAGGCGCAACAUCUGCGUGGGACAAGAGCUUCAAGGACUGGCACAGGAGGAAGCCAGCUUCCUGGGGUUACCAGGAUAAAGGACCAUGGGGCUCUCCUUGAGGGACUGGGGUGGGGGUAACUGCAGCUACAGAUGAAAGGGUGACAGGAAGAGGGAGUCUCAUUUCAGAAAAUGCCUCUGCCAGACUGGUCCAUGGAAACAAACUGACCCAUCUUAACAACACAGGAAUGAGUCAACAGGUUUUGGUGUGAGAAAGAUCAUGCCUGCGUGGUCCUGAACCUACUCAAAGCCAUCAGUUCUUAGGACUGAGAUGGUCCUCCAGGUUAGGCUCUGCAGCCCACUCCCUUCUAAAGGGGCAUGUGGAUCCAGGAGCUGAGUCUAGCCAGUGGAUAAGAGAUGAGCUGUACCACGAUGCCCACUCCAGUGUCUUAACCAUUUUCAUGGAAAACUUCACAGAUAAAGUUCUCAGGGAUCUCAUGAAGCUGUUAUGCAUCGGAGGAUGGCCUUGAACUUCCAAUUCUCCUGCUACUGCUGGGAUUAUAGACAGUCACUACUACACUAGUUCCAUGUGGUGUUGGAGAGUGAACCUGUGGCCUCCAAUAUGCUAGACAAGCACUUUUCCAAUCUACCUAUGUCUUUUGUUCCAAUUUCCCUUUAAAACAUGGAGUAGGCCUGUGAGGUCAUUUAGUUCUCCUUCAUUACUUGGCAAAUGGGUGAAAUGAGACACAGAGCUAUUAAAUGGCUUCCUCAAGGUUAUAAAACAAGUUUGAAGCAACAAAACGUCACCGGUCUUCAGGACCUGGAUGUAUUUUCAUUCUUGUCCGGCAGACACCUCCAAUUUACAUAUAUUGAAGUUAAGAAAAUGAUACUAUCAUAUAACAGAUUUAUUAUUUUAAUUUUUGUGAAGCUCGAAAGAAAAAAAUGAGUGCAGACUCUCCAUGCUCUGUGGUCCAGGGGACAGCCUCCGGGGUGAGACCAUCUAGAUUAAACACCCUACUCUGUCCCUCACCGUGAGAUCUCAGGCAGAUUAUCUAAUCUUUCUGGGACUCAGCUCUUUAAACUAUCAAAUGAGAGUAGGAACGUUCGCCAACACAAAGCAUUAAGACAAGGGAAGGGUUCAUGUGUAUGAAAGAUUAAUCUGUAAAGAGAAGACAAGUAUUGUGAGGACAGUUUAACCAGAGAAGAGACUGAGAGACACAAAGAAAGGGAAGAAUGAAAAAGGAAGGGGGACAGGGAGAUGGAUAAGGGUGUGUGAGGCUUGGAGUCCACAUUUCUAGAACCCACAUAAAGAUACCUGUGCUACCAAGACAGAAGCCUGAGGCAGGAGAAUUCCCAGAUGCUGGAGGUCAACCAACUUGGCUGAUGAAGGGUGGGGCAACAGGAGAUCCCAUCUCCAAUGAGGUGGAAAGUGAUUACCAACCAAAGCUUGUCCUCUGACAUUCAUGGCACGAGCGUGCUCUCCACCCACAACACACAAACACAGACAAAGUUUCAAAAUAAAUUUUUAAAAAGGUAAAGGGUGGAUAUGAGACAAAUUAUGAGAAUAACUAAAAUGAAAUGAUUUCUUUGACUAUAAAAUAAAUUCUAUGUUUAAUGCUAUCAUUAUCCUUAGUGACAUAAAAUAUUCCUGCCACAUUGUUAGUAGUAAAAUUACAAAGCAAUUUA